CCGCGCGGCAACGCAGGGGCGGAACCGCACUGAGAAAUUUACAGUCUAGUAAGGCAGAGAGGGAAGUAAAGUAUUCUAAUACUGUACAGGUAUUAUUGAAGAACAAUGUCGAAGGUAUAGCGUAAGCAGCAAGGAGAGAAGUAAAUCUUUCUGGGAGUUGGGAACUGCUUUGUUGAAGUGGCAACUGAGUCUUAAAGAAUAAUUGAGAAUGUGACUGGUAAACAAGGACAGAAACAUGUUCAUGAAAGAAAGCAAGGGACACAUUAAAUCCUUCCAGGAAAUAGUUUGGUGUACAUCCCAAAUCCUAGUAUCAUUGAAUUAUAUACAGGGAGUGAAUGAUGUGAUCAAAUGGGCAUUUUAGAAAGAUUAUGCUGACAACUCUGGAGGGCUGACUAGUCAGUGUGAAGGUCAGAAAAACAGCAAGAAAGCAAAUGCAAUAGAUCUAGUAGAAUGAUGAAGUGCUAAACUGACACACUAUUUUAAGACUUCAGGAAUACCAGGAUGAGUAAAACUACAUUUAAAAUUUUAAUCAUCUGUGGGGUUUAGCUAUGAAAAUUUUUUGUUUUCUAAGCUUUCUGCAAUGGAUAUGCACUGCUUUCUUAAUAGAAAAAAUAGUAAACUUUGUUAAGAGAGAGAGAACUCAGCAAAAGGCUCAUUACAGGGGA
rnacentral:lncRNA from 1 species